AAACGUACAUUGUUGAGACGAGAAAUUGAUUGAAAUUAGUCAGUUUUGGGAAAAAAGUAAAGUGAAAACAAUCAAAACGCUCUCAACUCCGUACAUCGGUUUGUUGCUCUCUGCCUUCAGAGUUCAGAGAAAAACAGCUGAGAGAACCAUUCCAUCAAAGUGGCCUCGUUUCGCGAUCCAUAGCCUACUCGGAGUCCGAUUCCGCGCGAGUGUUCGUUCAGUUCCAUCAGUGUGGCCCUUGCAUGACUUUCUCGGGAGCAUAAAUCCGUAGUAUCUCGCGUGUGUCCUCCUCUAAAGGCUCUAGUGGUGGUUUUGGCGAUUGGAAGGAAGUGUUCCAGCAGCAGAAGCAGCUUUAGAGGAGUGUGAGAGAAAAAUUACAUAAAACACGACCAAACUAAUUCUGGUGCUGCUUCUCGUUCGCCGCGGUCGUCAAAUUCAGCCGAAAUUUUUGUGGUGGCCCUUCAUCGAUAUUUUCGAAGGCUCAACCGUGGAAAAUAAGGAUAAAAAGUGAUGCCGUCGCAGUAAGCCUUUAGAUAUGUAAAAAGGAAGAACGAACCAUUCGUAGACAAUAGACGCAGCAAAACUCAAGGAUAGCACCACAGGGUUAAGCGCAGAGUAGUCAAAGUGGGGGAUCGAAGUGUGCGAGUGAAACAGUAGCAGCAGCAGCACAAGUAAUACCUUCGAAACUGAAAAAAAGGCAUCCAAUUUUUGAAGAUUAAAGAGUAAAUCUGCCGAAGAAACGGAAGUGAAGAACCGAAGAUAAUCUCCACGGCGGAAGAACUGCUUGCUGAGCUGGAAAAGUGCGAACCACAUUUAGAGACAGAGUGUGCGAGCGAGAGAGAAGAGGACAGAGAUUGUGCUGUGCCGCGGUGUUUUCCUCACGUCACGUCAGAUUGCGUUAGUCCUGCGGAAGGAUUCGCCUGCAUACUACUGUAGAGCUUCACGAGGCCGGAGCACGACGAGAGAAAGAGAGCGUGUGAGUUUGAAAUUCUCGUCGUCGGUGUCCUGUCCUGACAGCAGAAGCAGCAUGCAGAGUUGGGAGUGAAAUCCGCUUCGGAUUUUCGUUCGGAUUAUGUUCGUUUUUGUGUAAGCUGCGGAUCAGCGAAGAAAAAUUUUGUCAUAAUACGAAACAAGCAAUACGGUCGACUGAAGUAAAGUAGUAGUGCAUUCCAAGGAAGAAUCGAAAACGAGAUCGUCCGUGU
rnacentral:lncRNA from 11 species